UAGCUCAGUCGGCUGAGGGUGGUGCUGAUAACACCAAGGUCGCGGGUUCGAUUCCCGC
rnacentral:tRNA from 1 species